UACGGAGGGUGCGAGCGUUAUUCGGAAUUACUGGGCGUAAAGCGCGUGUAGGCGGGGAAGCAAGUCUGAUGUGAAAGCCCCGGGCUUAACCUGGGAAGUGCAUUGGAAACUGUUUUUCUUGAGUACUGGAGAGGAAGGGAGAAUUCCCGGUGUAGAGGUGAAAUUCGUAGAGAUCGGGAGGAACACCAGUGGCGAAGGCGCCCUUCUGGACGGUUACUGACGCUGAGACGCGAGAGCGUGGGGAGCAAACAGG
rnacentral:rRNA from 1 species